rnacentral:misc_RNA from 1 species
UGGUGGGCAACUACAACCUAUCUACACAUUACCAACAUAUGCUGAGAACCAACCAAAAGUUUUUCAAGGAGCAUCACAGAUCCAAGGUGGCCUAUCCCAAGUUAAACCUUCAUCAUCUGCCUCAGGUAAUUCAGCUCCUGUCCGUCCACCUCGUAUGGCUUGGUGCGAACUCUGUAGGAUUGAAUGCAACACACCUGAAGUUCUUGAACAGCAUAAGAAUGGAAAGAAACAUAAAAAGAACCUGAAAGCCUAUGAAGAGCGACAGAAACUGAACAAACAGAUGGAUGGAGCACAUGGUAACCAGACAAUAAAUUCUGAAGUUAAGCCAAGGAUUUCUUACCAGCCUGCAGUUGAGGGAUCUGGGCAGCUGCCGCUGGGGCAUUUGCCUUCUGAAACUGUAACUGGAGACAGACAGCCUCUGCCCCAAGAGAAGCUUCCUCCUCAAUCUGUUAUAGAGGAAGAUGUCGGUAUUACCGGAAAACAAAAGGUUGAAGAGACAGAUCCUUUGGAUCAUAUUCAAGGUCAAAG